CACGUAGGGGGCGAGCGUUGUCCGGAUUUAUUUGGGCGUAAAGAGCUCGUAGGCGGCUCAGUAAGUCAGGUGUGAAAACUCCAGGCUCAACCUGGAGACGCCACCUGAUACUGCUGUGGCUAGAGUCCGGUAGGGGAGCAUGGAAUUCCUGGUGUAGCGGUGAAAUGCGCAGAUAUCAGGAGGAACACCAGUGGCGAAGGCGGUGCUCUGGGCCGGAACUGACGCUGAGGAGCGAAAGCGUGGGGGAGCAAACAGG
rnacentral:rRNA from 1 species